rnacentral:rRNA from 1 species
AACGAACGCUGGCGGCAUGCCUAACACAUGCAAGUCGAACGAGACCUUCGGGUCUAGUGGCGCACGGGUGCGUAACGCGUGGGAACCUGCCCUUAGGUGCGGAAUAACUCCCCGAAAGGGGUGCUAAUACCGGAUAAUGUCUUCGGACCAAAGAUUUAUCGCCUUUGGAUGGGCCCGCGUUGGAUUAGCUAGUUGGUAGGGUAAAAGCCUACCAAGGCGACGAUCCAUAGCUGGUCUGAGAGGAUGAUCAGCCACACUGGGACUGAGACACGGCCCAGACUCCUACGGGAGGCAGCAGUGGGGAAUAUUGGACAAUGGGCGAAAGCCUGAUCCAGCAAUGCCGCGUGAGUGAUGAAGGCCUUAGGGUUGUAAAGCUCUUUUUCCCGGGAUGAUAAUGACAGUACCGGGAGAAUAAGCCCCGGCUAACUCCGUG